UACACCCGAUUCUAAACCCUAUAUUUGUUUUCAUUGAAUAUUAAAUGAAAAAGAAGGGAUAGCAUUUUUUUGACAAUAUCAAACCAUGAUUACUAAGAAUUUUUUUUUAAAUGAAACCCCACUAGUAACCUUACUUUGACGGUCUUCAUUCGAACUUUGACAAGUGAGUAGAUUUGACAAAUGUCAAAGUUGCCGUUUUGCAUAUUCCCGUUAAAUUCAUGUGCUAUUAUGGAUCAGCAGGUCAAGGUUGGCCAUAUCGUGCAUUCUUAAUACAAAAAAAUACAUCAUGCUCCUUGUAUGCAGUUGUCAAUAUGGACGGGUAUGAGACGGACGACAUUUUGAGUCAGACGUUGGAUUUGGCAGAAUAGUCUAAAGAUAACGCAAUAUUUAUAACCCAUAAAGGUAAUCAUAAAUUUAUUUUACAUGUAACUUACGGUUUUAUAAAAAAAAAGCCCCCCCCCCCACCUCUUCUCAACAUUAAACAAACAAACAUUCAUUUCAAACAUACUGAGGAAUAGGUGUGUCUGGAUUAGAAACUGGACGACCGGACACGCUUAACAUACAAAAAUACAGAUUGCAAAUGUUGGAACCCCCCGUUUGCGGGGCAAUCCAAAAAGGGGGGUCCGAGCCUUGGAAUCCCCCUUUUUUACGAUCAAUUCUUUUGAAUGGGGACAUAUGGCUGGAACACUCCCCUUCUUUAUCCUGGGUUGGCACCCCCUUUUAAAAAUGGCUUGAUCCGCCCCUGGGUGCCAUCAUCAUCUUCAACAAUCCAAAAAUUAAUAAAUUUAUUUUUAUUAUUAAGACUUAGUCUAAAUGUAAACUAUAUGUUUUAAUGUAUAAUUUACAUAAAAGUUCCAGGAGUAUUUAAAUGAUUUGUUUUAUUCAAAAUAGAUGUUAAAGAUUUAUUUUGCUAUUGGAAUUUCGUGAAAUAUGUUUUUUUUUUAAUUUGUCUUGAAACAACUUGUAGUGAACACUAUUCGCUAUUCGUAAUGUCUUGUGUUCAUGCUAUUAAAAAAAAACCAAUUCAUAUUGUUAUGAAUAACGAUGGACUGUGUUUUCGGGAUGUAGAAGCAGGGGUUUCCAGAAACCCCGCUCGUCAUACCCUGUGGUCAAAAUCCAUUGUUACUCGUAACAAUAGAUCUAUUCAAUUUACCCUUGUUUCAGAAAUAGAAACUGUGAAGGAUAACAAUAGAACUGGGGUGUAAAGUUAUAGACUAGUAAAUGAAAAAAAAAUGUAUAUGUCACGAUGGAUUCUUAUCAUUGAACAACAGUCGGUUAAUUACAAUUCCGACGUUAUAUUGAUGAACAUGCAGGGACCUCAGUCAAGAAUUGAGAAAGAGUAACUAGAAUAUUUUUUGAAAUGUGAGUGAUAUACCAGUUAGGCAUAUUACAAGAGCUAAAUUUGUUUAUUCCCUGGACUGAUAUGCAUAAAACCACUCAAGUUACGAUAUCCAAUCGUAGUUAAUUUAUCGUAGAACAUGUAGAAAAAUCCGUCCGUUCGGAACAAAUCUUAACGUAAGAAGCUUUAUGCAUACGGGCCCUGAGCUUCAGAUAUCAAGCGAAAACUGACCUUUGAUGACUAUAUGUGUCUUAUAUAUAGCUAUAUAUAACUAUAUUAAUGUGCUAUGAAAUGACGAUUAAACUUUUAACCAUAAUGAAAAUUAUUACUUUAACUGUGCCAGGUCAAACUUACCGAUCCUAAGACAGGAUAAAAUAGGUGGGAAGUCAUAAGAAGCAAAUAUAGUAAAGCGCGAAUUUCCUAUGUAAAAAGGCGCAAAUGUCCUUUUUUAAAAAGCGCAAAUGUCCUAUAAAUUGAAGCGCAAAUGUCCAUUAAAAUAGAGCAAAUGUCCUAUGACAAAGCGGAAACGUCCCGCGUCGAUUUUAACUUUAUUUAUUUAUUUAUUAAUGAACGAAAUGCACAUUUAUACCCCGAGGUAUAUUAUACCAUUCAUUUUAAAGGUAACAUAGGUGAAAACAAAGAUAAUUAAUGAUAGAUAUGAUAGUUAUUAUUAAUUUUGAACAUAUUUGGAAAUUUGAAUUAUAUAUUUUUCAUAUGGAAUUCUGAAAAAAAAAUAAAGUGAUUAUGAGAAAUCACGUAAUAGCUUAA